ensembl:lncRNA
AGGGGCAGCUUCCAAAGGUGGAGAGGACUUGGGGUAGGUUGGAAGAGAGUACUUGAACUAUUCAUGUCGAGCAUAUGAGGAGACGGCCUAACUCACCUGCCAUCCCCUCCUAGAUCCACCACUGCUACGAAUCUUUCCUCCGUAACUUUGGAGAAUUCACUUAAACUGUCUAAUUCACCAACUGCAAAAUGGGACUAGCGCACUCAAAAAGGGAGGGACUGGUGCUGGUCUGAAGGUGAUGGUGGUGCUUACGGGUGUUCACCUGCGGACCUAAGGAUGCUGACAGUGGAGGAAUCCAAGCACCAAGACAUCUGGGAGCACCCAGAUCAUUCGGUCUUUAUGACAGAUGCCGAACACCAUAGAAUUCUAAGAGAUGGCCAGGAGAAGGAAGUCUUCAUUGUGGGCUGCAUAUAUGCAAUGCUACCCGUGGCACGUCAUCUGAGGAAGUUCCCUCGCAGUGUAAAUGGAAUUGGAGCUGCUAAACCCACCUAAUGAAGUUUAAAAUCUCAGGAAUAAUGUGUGAUGCUGGUGGAAGUACUGUACUUAUAAUUUGAUGGUUUCACAGAGUACCAGCUACUUCUCUUCAUGGCUUUCCAUCUUGUGUGCUUGAUGAGAAACGAAAAGUCUCUCAGAUUAAUUCCAAACUUCAGAAUGACCAAUUUUCCUUUGAGAUGCCUCACAUUCUGCUUGAUUUUCAUUGGUCAGGCUGGACUAACUGCUCAUGAGAGAUACAGGAAAGUGAGCUUAUACUGCCUGUUUUUCCAGAAGCUCUCCUUCAACAGCAUCUCAUCCUUGAUACCAGAAAACACAGCGUAUGGGAGUUAUAAUAAAUAGGCAAAGUGGUACUUCUGUUUAAACGGAUCAUUCAAAAGAUCUAACACAGUGAUCUACACUCUACUUCCUCUAGAUCAGUGGUUCUCAACUGUGGUUUUGCUGGGAGCACUUAUGGAGUUUGCUUUAAUAUGAAUGGCCCAUCUGGGAGAUCUUGAUUUUGUAGAUGUGUGAUGGAGCUGAAAACCUGUUUAAAGAGCUUCACAGGUGAUUCCGAUGCAUACCUAGAGGGUGAACCACUGUUUUAAUAAAUUUAAAUUAAAAAUGUUAACAGAAGUACAACUAUCCAUUCCUAAACAUUCACAACAUUCUGAAUCUCCCACUCCACAGACUCCUUCUUCCUGUCUAUAAAACAUGCUCUGUGUUCUGACUGUAAAAACAAUACAAAACAAACUUCGACCACUUUUGUUCAUCUCUAUACUUCUCCAGAGUGAUUGCAAUCAAUAUCUUUAUUUUCUCUCCACUUUUUCUUCCUGAAAACCCUGAGAUCUUGCUUCUAUCUAUGCUACUUAUGAGAUAAUAGAAAAUACAUAGAUUGGUCUCUGUCCCCAUUUCCUGGCAUAGACCUCCAAAGUCCCUUGUAAUUUCCUAAGUGGCAAGAGCACUAGGAACAUCUUUUGUUCUAACGAGCCAACUCUGGGUGGGCUCCUGGUCACCAGACAGAUCAAGCCAUGAUUAGAAGCUUGGAAUUCUCAGCUCCGCCCCUCACCCUCCAGAAGCGGGAGAAGGGCUGAAAAUGGAGUUAAUAAUUGACCAUGCCUACAUGAGGAAGCCUCCAUGAUAUCCCAGUAGUAUGGGUUUCAAAGAGCUCCCACAUCCACAUGCUGGGAGGGUGACGCACCCCAACUCCAUGGGGACGAAGCUCCUGCGCUCAUGACCCUCCGACAUCUCGCCCUAUGCAUCUCUUCAUCUGGCUGUUAUCUGUAUCCUUUAUAUCCUUUAAUAAACUGGCAAAUGUGUUUCCCUGAGUUCUGUGAGCCACUCUAGCAAACUAAUCGAACCUGAGGAGAUGGCCAUGGGAACCUCUAAUUUGUAGCCAAAUUGGACAGAAGUUGUGAGUAACCUGGGGACUUACUCCUUGUGAUUGGCAUCUGAAGGGGGGUGGGAGCAGUCUUAUGGGGCUGAGCCCUUAACCUGUGGGAUGUGACGCUAUCUCCAGGUAGAUUUCAUUUAAAAAUAACAAUAAACUUAUUAUACAUCAACACAAGUAAUAUAUUUUAUUAAAAACAAUUUUUUAAAAAUUUAGUGAGAUGAGUGCCAUUGCUUUACAUUUUUGUAAAUCUCUUUAAUGUCUGGCUUAAUAAAAGACAGCUGGAUUCUCAGUCUGCUCUCCUAUGUUGUUUUGCUUAAAGUAUAUGGAGAAAAUUAGGCCUUUCACAGAUACGUAGUUGGAAAAGAAAAAUGUAUUUUUGAAGGCUUUUCAAAUAGUUGUCAAUAUUAUUUUUAAUAUGUCACCAAAAUUUGACAAAUGGCAGCUUCAGAAAGGUUAGUUGCAAUGUGUAAUCUGAAACCACAUUAACAAACUUUACACCCUGUUACAUUAAGUUCCAUUGGUCUAUUUUAUGCUUUGAAUGGAUCUUUUACCCAUGCCGGAUUUUGUAACAUACACUGGUCAUUUGGAAAAUAUUGGCUCACUGAGAUCUUCCAAAUGUUGACAUAUCAUAUUAUCAACAAUAUCAUCAGAAUAAUUUUUAAAGUUUUGGGAACCUAAC